CGUCGCGUGUAACACACACACAUACACACACGCGCGCGCGUGCGCGGGAGAGAGAGAGAGAGAGAGAGAGAGAGAGAGAGAGAGACUGGAGCAGCAGCACAGACUCUAAAUUAGGUUCACGCGGAUGGUUCUGUGUCACAGACUCUCUUUUCUUCUGAUUCUGUUAAGAUUUCCUUAGAUUGAGUAGAUUUAUUAUUCGCCAGUCGGAGGAGGAUGUGGAUGGGAUUGUUUUUCUCAGGACGCUUCAUCGGUGGGAUUGAUAUGGUAAACAAGUGGGCCUUAUUUCUCCGCGCCACCCUCAAUAAUGAUCCAAUAAGAACCAUCUGUCUGAAUCAACCCCCUUCUUCCACUCAACUGUCAACACGUCUUCCAUUCAGCGCGGAGCGUUAAAUCGGGAUAGGCUGGGAAUCUUUCCGGAUCGGUGGUAUUUUUGCUUUUGACUCCUCUUCAUACUGCGCCAGGACAAACCUCUGAAGCGUGCAUGUCUCAAAAAGUAGGAAAAAAUAACAACCAAUCAAAAAGUUAUCUUUCAAUACAUUUUGGUUGACUUCCUGCUGUUUCCCACUGUGAUUGGACGUAAUAGUACCAUUGUUGGUGUGAUUAUGAACAGCAAGACAACACAAACACCAGAUCGUAACAUUUCAGAAAGGGUACUUCUGAUCAGGCUGUGCAGAGUUCAUCUUUAGCUCAUCGUUUGAUCUGUUUGGGCAACAGAGGCAACUUUCAGAGCGUAUUUCUCAGGAAGCAGUGGAAACUUUCACUGUCAACAUGUUUGGAAAAAUGUAAACGGUUCAGACGGAAAGCUGCUGAGCCAGUUUCAAUUCAUAAAAUCAGCCCCACAACAAAUUGAUUGUGAGUUUCCUCAAAUUAUUAGUUUGUAAAAAUGGAGCGAACACGGCGGAAUGAGGAGUCAUUCCCUCUGUUCCAGCCCCCUCCUGCUUGUUCUUCUUCUGCUCCUGCUCUCUGUCAAACCCUGGCCCAGUUUAGAUUGCAACCAUUUCAGAUUCAUCCAGGGAGUCGUUUUUCCACUGCCAGGUUAAAGUAGCCUUGUUGAAUUGAACGCCAGCUGCUGAUACUGGUCUAUGGAGCUGGUUAAACACACACCUAGCUCCAGGCCACGGUUCAACAAGAGCUGUGCAGCAGCAAGGUGUCCUCAGCACAACCACCGCGUCAGCGCUGCUGCCUUUGUGUCGGGAAAAUCCUAAAAUAUGAAUACAAUCCAGAGCAGAGCACUGUUAAAAAUCUCACUAAGCACAUCUACGUUUUUAAUUACCUCACAUGCAGACACGAGAGGUCAAAUCCACUACAGAAAUGUGCACAUCAAAUUCUUUUUGCUUUUAUUUUGCCCCCCCAUGUUUCCAGCAGGUUUCCUGUGCAUCAAACCUCCCCUGCAGCCAGCAGUAAAUAGGUGCAUUUCACAUCAGCUCCUUGGAUGGUUUCCUCCAGCUAAAGAGCAUCUCUGCAGCCCAGGAAAUGGCGGGUGGAAGUUCAGACUGUGCCAUCUCUGGUGCUCGACACCUUCACAUUACCGUUAUCUGCUCUUCAUCAGGCAGACAGCUACUUUUGAUAUGUGCUGCACUUUGAAAAAACAAUGUUUUCUUCUGCACACGAGAGACCACAAGCAACUUGCCAAAAGUAGCACAUGUGAAUUAUAAAAGAAAAUCAGCUGAGCACAUUUUCCAGCCAAGCGUGGGUCAGAAGUGUGCCUUAAUGAUCUGCUGCUUUUAAAAUGAAACUUUCAAAAUAAAAGAGGCUCUCUGGUAGUAAGAAGUCUUUCAUCUCAA